rnacentral:rRNA from 1 species
AUGAACGCUAGCGACAGGCUUAACACAUGCAAGUCGAGGGGCAGCGGGGUGUAGCAAUACACCGCCGGCGACCGGCGCACGGGUGAGUAACGCGUAUGCAACUGGCCUAUCAGAGGGGGAUAACCCGGCUAAAGUAGGACUAAUACCGCAUGAAGCAGGGGCCCCGCAUGGGGAUAUUUGCUAAAGAUUCAUCGCUGAUAGAUAGGCAUGCGUUCCAUUAGGCAGUUGGCGGGGUAACGGCCCACCAAACCGACGAUGGAUAGGGGUUCUGAGAGGAAGGUCCCCCACAUUGGUACUGAGACACGGACCAAACUCCUACGGGAGGCAGCAGUGAGGAAUAUUGGUCAAUGGGCGCGAGCCUGAACCAGCCAAGUCGCGUGAGGGAUGAAGGUUCUAUGGAUCGUAAACCUCUUUUAUAAGGGAAUAAAGUGCGGGACGUGUCCCGUUUUGUAUGUACCUUAUGAAUAAGGAUCGGCUAACUCCGUGCCAGCAGCCGCGGUAAUACGGAGGAUCCGAGCGUUAUCCGGAUUUAUUGGGUUUAAAGGGUGCGUAGGCGGCCUUUUAAGUCAGCGGUGAAAGUCUGUGGCUCAACCAUAGAAUCGCCGUUGAAAAUGGGGGGCUUGAGUAUGUUUGAGGCAGGCGGAAUGCGUGGUGUAGCGGUGAAAUGCUUAGAUAUCACGCAGAACCCCGAUUGCGAAGGCAGCCUGCCAAGCCAUGACUGACGCUGAUGCACGAAAGCGUGGGGAUCAAACAGGAUUAGAUACCCUGGUAGUCCACGCAGUAAACGAUGAUCACUAGCUGUUUGCGAUACAGUGUAAGCGGCACAGCGAAAGCGUUAAGUGAUCCACCUGGGGAGUACGCAGGCAACGGUGAAACUCAAAGUAAUGGAUGGGGGCCAGCACAAGCUGAGGAACAUGUGGUGUAAUUCGAGGAUACGCGAGGAACCUUACCCGGGUUUGAACGCAUUCGGACCGAGGUGGAAACACCUUUUCUAGCAAUAGCCGUUUGCGAGGUGCUGCAUGGUUGUCGUCAGCUCGUGCCGUGAGGUGUCGGCUUAAGUGCCAUAACGAGCGCAACCCUUGCCACUAGUUACUAACAGGUGAUGCUGAGGACUCUGGUGGGACUGCCAGCGUAAGCUGCGAGGAAGGCGGGGAUGACGUCAAAUCAGCACGGCCCUUACAUCCGGGGCGACACACGUGUUACAAUGGCGUGGACAAAGGGAGGCCACCUGGCGACAGGGAGCGAAUCCCCAAACCACGUCUCAGUUCGGAUCGGAGUCUGCAACCCGACUCCGUGAAGCUGGAUUCGCUAGUAAUCGCGCAUCAGCCAUGGCGCGGUGAAUACGUUCCCGGGCCUUGUACACACCGCCCGUCAAGCCAUGGGAGCCGGGGGUACCUGAAGUCCGUAACCGAAAGGAUCGGCCUAGGGUAAAACUGGUGACUGGGGCU